rnacentral:rRNA from 1 species
GACGAACGCUGGCGGUGUGCUUAACACAUGCAAGUCAACGAGAAUUUAUCUUCGGAUAAUAGUAAAGUGGCGAACGGGUGAGUAACGCGUAAAUAACUUGCCUUGGAGAUUGGGACAACAUUGGGAAACCAGUGCUAAUACCAAAUAAUGCAGCGGACCCUUCGGGGUAUAGUUGUUAAAGUAGGCUUCGGCUUACACUUCAAGAUAGAUUUGCGUCCGAUUAGUUAGUUGGUAGGGUAAUAGCCUACCAAGACCGAGAUCGGUAGCUGGUCUGAGAGGAUGAUCAGCCACACUGGAAUUGAGAUACGGUCCAGACUCCUACGGGAGGCAGCAGUGAGGAAUUUUGCACAAUGGGCGAAAGCCUGAUGCAGCAACACCGCGUGAUUGAUGAAGUUUUUAGGAAUGUAAAAAUCUGUCGUAAGGGAAGAAAUGUUUCGGAUGUUAAUACCAUCCGUCAUUGACGGUACCUUACAAGAAAGGACCGGCUAACUUCGUG